CCCCCUCCCAUUACAUAAGGCAUCCAUUGCCUCACUGUCUCAUUUUGAGUGAGUGAUGGAGUGCUUUUUGGUGCUCCAGUGAUGUUCAGAACUCAUAAAUCUGAUCUUCCUAUUGAAUGUUAGAAGUUGUGGAAGUCCUUUGAUAAAGGGAAAUGUUAUUGAUAGCUGUAUCCUCUGAUAACUGCCUCCAAUAACUGGUAGGGAGUUCUUGCAAGUUGUGCAGACUGCUGCUGUGGUCAGCUGGGCUCCAGUGCCACUGCUUUGCUCUGUUACAGUCUGCUGUGCUAUGGGGGCAGGUUGGUGCCUAGAAGGAUUUGCUCUCAGGGCUGAAUAAUGACACUUCGGUGACUUUCUUCAAAGGGCAACCUCUCAUUCAAAUAUGGUGAGCAGUUGUCUUCAUCCUCUUUCUCACACACGGUGCUUUGCUGUAGUCUCAGGAACCAAAACAGAGCCUGCUUUAUAGGGCAGGCUGGAAAUAUCCUCCCAGCCCUUGCUGGGUGUCUCCUACAAGUCAGGAAAAAAGCCUGUUGAAUGUUUUCAACACCAAUAUGCACUUCCUACUUGAACACUCGAUACACACAUCAUGUGUCACAUGCUGAUUCAUGGCAGAAAUAAAUACAUGAUUGCAUUUUAAAGAGUUGGGUUUUUUUUUGUUUUGUUUUGUUUUUCCCCAAGAAGACAUGUAAAAGCAUAAACUUUUUCUUUCUUUUGUGCCUGCCCACCCCUGGCACUGAUUCUCCUUAUCCUUCUCAGAAAUGCAAGGAAAGCCAAAUCAGGCUCUGUUUAAACUCUCUAAUGAGUUUUACAGCAGUCUGAAAUGACUUUCUCUUUUUGCAUGGGUACUGUGAUGCUACUGACAUUUCUGUAAGGUUUCCAUGAAUUUUUGCAAGAUGAACAGGGUCUGAUCUUGUACCAUACGAAGGUACAAAGAAGGAAUCCUUUGAUUAGCAAAGCUUCACAUAACAAUGUCAUGUGAAGAAGAAAAUCCUAAACUUUUUGCUGCUUGCUCCAAGAAUAAGGAGCCAGGGGAAGUUGAUGCACAGCCUGGUGUAACACAUUCUAGCAUUACAGAUGCUUAGACUACAUGCUUUUUAGUAAUGUCUGAAAAGCAGAUUGUCACCCAGUGUGAUUGUCAAUAUCGUGUUGGCAACGGUUGUGCGUUCAGGAGAGACAUUGCUUAUUUAUUCCAGGUUUGUAUCAGCCUGGGUGCUCAGUGGUUUCCCACCUAUCAAACACACCAAAUGGAAUGAUCCGUGCUAUAUUUAUACUCAAAAGUUGGAAUUAGUAAUUUUUUCAGUCCUCCUCAAUGAUAAUUAAUUCAUAAUUUGCAUACAAUUACAAUAUUGCCGGCUCUAUGCUUCCAUUACUACGCCUGCUCAGGGGAGGGGUCUUCAUGAGGGCAGGGGUCUUCUUGACCUAUGAGUGUGAACUUUAGUUUUACAAUGAAGGUAGUGCAGCAAGGACCUUGAGUUUUAUCGCCUAGUUGGCAGCAUCCUCAAAGCAUCCCGAUUAACGUCCUCCUCAAGGCCCACUGGCUCUGGUUAAAGGAUACUAAGUGUUUAUUCUUCUGAUACCUAACACAAUGUUAGCUCAGUGUUUAUUCUGAUACCUCACACAGCGUUAGCUCAGUCUCUGGGGCUGGUCUUAAACAGUAAUACAUGGAAAUAGCUCUUGCAGGGGGGAAAGUGACAGCUUCUCUGGCUCCUGUGCCAAAAUCCGAUCUUUUUUCUUUUAAACUUUUUAAAAAUAGAUGUCAUACUCAGAGGAAACAAGAGCUGCUGAGAAGUUGUCUUUCGGGGAAGGUAAAUGUUUAAGUAUUUUAAAGAAGCAAAUUAAAAUCUCUCUUCUUGUUAUUUAUGUUAUCAAUAAUUAAUGGACAUUGGGAGAAGGCACACUGAAUAACAUUGGAUUUUUAAAGUGUAGCAAGAAAACUAGACAGUUUUCUUCAUUAACAAUUAUGUAGAUUGUAUUUGCUGUGGUUCUUUGCCUCCUCUUCUGUCUAACUGUGCUGAGCACAUAUGAAAAAUACUUAAUGGGAUCCUUUCUGCCUGCAUCCCCGAGCUGUGAUACAAAUAAGGAAGUCAGUAGAGGAGUUAGAGCUGCUUGUUUGCCUGAAACUCGGGUUUGGAGUUGUUUCACCUCCUGCACAGCAGAGGAUCAUUAAAUUGUCCCAGCCCUCUCCACCCACCAAAAACAAUCACUUAUGCAAAGCCGGGCAGUUUCCUAUGGGAUCUCCUGUGGGAAUUUGAGAACAGUCUCGCUGAGUAUUUUACUGUCUGCUUUGUGUUGCUGGCAGGGUAAUUGUGAGCAUAGGAAAGCAGAGCUUUGCUUUUAGGCGUUUUGCCCAAGUAUGGCAGUUUAAACCCAAGGCUGGCUGAACAGCUCUGUGUAUAAUACCCAUUUUUGUCCCAGCCCCCUCGCAAGCUGUGUGUGGGUCUGUCUGUUUGUCAAUCCAAAGAUCACACAAAAGAUAACGGCAGUGGAGGAAGAGGAAUAAAGCAGUGCUGAUAUUAAGUUUGUUGAUUCCAGCUCAUCCAUCAGCAGACAGAACACGUAAUAAAAAGUGCAUAGUUUUUGAUGUGUAAAGAGUGGCUGAUAAGUGGGUAACAACUUGAUUUCCUUUCAACUGAUUCCAGACUGCCUUUUGGUGUCCUGUUGUUUGGCUGAGCUCGUUGCACUGGUACCUUGUGAAUAAACAUAACCUUCAAGGGCUGGUGGUCACUCAGCUGGUGGAGCAGCAGCUCCUAUUUUCCCAGAAGGACGUGUGUAUCUGGGAGGGCAGAUGCAGGCUGUCAUCUGUUGACUUGCGGUUUAAUCUUUAUUUUGCACUUCCAGCUGAUAAGACCACUUUGUGCAAAAGUAAUACAGUAAAUGAUGCAUUGCAAAAACCAAAAGUGGCGGAAAGGGAAACAGAAUGUACUGGCAAGAGCUCAGUGCUACGGGCAUGCUUCUGGCUUCUUGGAAAUGAAUAUCUCCACCUACGCGGCCUUUUUUUAGUUUGACACCACUAUUGGAAUUGAGCAUUUGAGUGGUAUACAGCAGCCUGAGGUUUUUUUGGUUUGUUUGUUCGCUUUCCCUUGCUUUUCUUUCUGGCUAAUUCAGGGCCUGAAUCUUCUCUGGGCAGUCUGAGCUUCAGCAGCAGUCCUGGGGUGAGAGGUUAGCAGCAGGUUGUAGAUGGGGCUCGCAGCUGCUAAGCUGCCUUGCUUUCAACUGUAUUUUCAAGUACUGUGCCUAAUGGGAUUCCCUGUGCUGCUCCCAGUGCAUUUCCUGCUGGUUGUUGCUCCAGAAUGCCAGCUGUUAACACUUCUGGUUGUGAUGUUGAAAUGUAUUUUGGAACGUGCGCUUAUGGGAGUGGGACAAGUGCAUGUUACAGGGUGUGAUCCAAGAAUGUCAGAAAACCUAUUUCUAUGGUGUGGCUGCUUGGGGUUACAUCUGAAUGUCUUUCUGGUCUUAGCAGGCCUUAUGUGCAAACACAUGCUAAGGCUGUACUUUCAGGCCCUAGUAAAAACGUGCCGUUUCAAUAGGCAGAAAACUUCUUUCCUACACAAGAAGCAGUCUGCCCAUCUAUUUUUAAAGCAGCUUGGUAGAAGUGGCUCAUGCCAUGGUAAUCAACGCAGACGCAGUUCUACAUAUGUAGACUGAGGCUUGGGUUGAGAUUUAGACUUUUAGACUUUUUAGACUCGUUUCUUUUUCACUAGAUUUUCCAUGCAAGUAUUCUAAAUAUGUAUUUUGGUUGUUGUUUUAAAUCUAAUAGGUGUGAAGUAGAAAGGUUGACCUGAUGACUUGAUAACAGUGGUGUACAUUUGUGCGUGGAACUUGUGUUUGCAAAAAGUAGAAAAAAGAUAUUCAGAAUAUUGAAUGAGAUACAAGCUAUGUGUGAAUUGAGGAUAACUCCAAUACUUGCGUGCGGAUUGGAAGCAAGUGGACUGGGGUCU
ensembl:lncRNA